CGAAAAGCCUUCCUUUUAUCUCCCGUGCAUAAGAAAACCCUAGAAAAUCCAUACCAUACAUCAUGACAUCUACUAUAUAUUCGAAAUCAAAACUUUAUCUCACGUGCAUAAGAAAACCCUAGAAAAUUCAUACCAUACAUCAUCUUCCAUAAUCGAAAUCAAAAUGUCAAACGACAUACCAAUUGAAAUCCAAGAGGAAAUCAUGAAAAGGCUUCCUGUUAAAUCGUUAAUUCAGUUCCGAUCCGUCUGCAAAGCAUGGAAGUCUCUCAUCGAUGGCUCUGAUUUUAUUAAGCAUUAUAGUGGCCAACAGCAACAUCUACUUCUAGGGUAUUCAGGUUACUAUCCUGAGCGAAAAUAUGUUUCAGUUGUUGAUAAUGAUAGUUUUCCCCAACAGAAAGUUUAUCUGGCUCUUCCUAACAUGCUUAAGUAUUUUAAGAUGAUCGGCGGCUCUCAUGGCUUGUAUGGAAAGGACGGUGAUGAUAAACGGAGCAGGGCUAUUCUUUGGAAUCCUUUAAUUAGAAAAGUGGUUGUUGUUGUUGUGCCUACUCGGAUGGAUGAAACCAAAAUAGGUUUUGGGGUUUGUAGUGAAACUAUGGACCCUAAGAUACUCAGUCAAGAUUACACAGAUUGAGAGGUGGAGAGAUGUUGAGAGUUUACGUUGCAUUCGUCGGCAAGUUGAGGUACGUGGUGGAGACGUCCUUAUAGCACCAGUCUCCCUCGUACAUCAAUUAACUUUUUUAGUUUACAUGUAGCUGUUAAUGGGUGUCUUUAUUGGUUAGCUGCUGAUCGGAUUGCCACGGAUGGUGGAUUCCGGAUCUAUAAACUGAUUAUUUCAUUUAGUUUGACAAGCGAAGAAUUUGGAGAAAUAAACCUUCCAGCUACGUUAGCAAUACAAUCUUAUCUAAAUUUAUCCAUGUCUAAGCUAAGGGAGUCUCUUGUUGUGCUUGAAGUUGUUGCGGAUGAGAUGGUUUCUGUUGCAUGGAGGAUGGAGGGCGGUGCUUCAAAGUCGUUUACAAAGCUAUUCAUUGUUAACAUACCAUUUGUUUCAGUAAAGGUUAGGGGAUUUAGGAAGAACGAUGAAUCUAUAAUUGAAUUUGUAGUCGCUCAUCGUAGGUGGGAUGAUUUAUAUGCUCCUAGAUCGUUUGCUCUAUAUAAUCCCUACUCAAAACAGAGCAAGAAUAUAUGUUGGGAUUUCUGAGUUUGCUCGUACUAUUUUUGUGGAUUUCUACAUGGAAACACUACUUCUGGUUGAUCAGCCAGAUUUUAUUGUUUAUGACAAUGAUAACUGCCGCUUUGAAAUUUCGAAUGGGAGAGCUAAGUAGAAAAAGCUUUUGAAACAUACAAACCAGGUCAUUCACUGAAGUCACCGGUGCUUACAGCGAUAUUCUUAGGCUCUAAGACUCUACUCUAGUUUUGUAAUGGAAUAUGAAGUUUUACUUCUAGUCAUGUACAAAAUUCUUGAUCUAUAAUAUUUGGCUUAGUUUUUA